rnacentral:lncRNA from 1 species
ACUUUUCAGGGAAAGUAACAACAGAAAGGGUCAUUGAUAAAAAGGACGAUCAAGAAUAGUUUCUUCAGAUACUGGAACAUGAAUUACCACAAUAUCACCAUCCUGAAACCUCUGAGGGCCAUUUCGGAUUCUGUAAUGAAAUGUUGGUUCAUUCAAAAGCACGUAUGAAACGGAUAUAAAAUGGAUGCAAAUAAAAUAUGAUGCAGCAAUAAAAGAACGUGAAAAUAAAAUAAUGAACAAGCUGGACAAGUAUGACCACAAAUUCAAACAUGCAGAACCAUUGAUUUGUUAACUUCACGAAAAUAAAACGGCAGCUGAGAUCCAGGUGAUGAAUGUUUGGUAAGCAAAACAAGAAGAACAAGAAAGAGAAAUUGAAUAGAUUCACGGAGUGAGAUGUGUUGAG